CCAGACUCCUACGGGAGGCAGGAGUGGGGAAUAUUGCACAAUGGGGGAAACCCUGAUGCAGCGACGCCGCGUGAAGGAAGAAGUAUCUCGGUAUGUAAACUUCUAUCAGCAGGGAAGAAAACAGACGGUACCUGACUAAGAAGCCCCGGCUAACUACGUGCCAGCAGCCGCGGUAAUACGUAGGGGGCAAGCGUUAUCCGGAUUUACUGGGUGUAAAGGGGGCGCAGACGGCCAUGGCAAGCCCGGUGUGAAAGGCAGGGGCAUAACCCCUGGACUGCUCUUGGAACUGCGCGGCUGGAGUGCAGGAGGGGCAGGCGGAAUUCCUGGUGUAGCGGUGAAAUGCGUAGAUAUUAGGAGGAACACCGGUGGCGAAGGCGGCCUGCUGGACUGUGACUGACGUUGAGGCCCGAAGGCGUGGGGAGCAAACAGGAUUAGAUACCCCCGUA
rnacentral:rRNA from 1 species